CUCGCCAUGGUUCAAUGGAUAGAACAAGCGCCUCCUAAGCGCUAGAUCUGGGUUCGAUUCCCGGUGGCGAGGCCA
rnacentral:tRNA from 1 species